rnacentral:tRNA from 1 species
CACGAGGGAGUUUAUUAGGAAUAUGGGCUUUGGGGGCUCAAGGGGAUAGUUGUGA